rnacentral:rRNA from 1 species
UACAGAGGUCCCAAGCGUUGUUCGGAUUCAUUGGGCGUAAAGGGUGCGUAGGCGGCGCGGUAAGUCGGGUGUGAAAUCUCGGAGCUUAACUCCGAAACUGCAUUCGAUACUGCCGUGCUUGAGGACUGGAGAGGAGACUGGAAUUUACGGUGUAGCGGUGAAAUGCGUAGAUAUCAUAAGGAAGACCAGUGGCGAAGGCGGGUCUCUGGACAGUUCCUGACGCUGAGGCACGGAGGCCAGGGGAGCAAACGGG